rnacentral:rRNA from 1 species
CCUACGGGAGGCAGCAGUGGGGAAUUUUCCGCAAUGGGCGAAAGCCUGACGGAGCAAUACCGCGUGAGGGAGGAAGGCCUUUGGGUUGUAAACCUCUUUUCUCAGGGAAGAAGAUCUGACGGUACCUGAGGAAUAAGCAUCGGCUAACUCCGUGCCAGCAGCCGCGGUAAUACGGAGGAUGCAAGCGUUAUCCGGAAUCAUUGGGCGUAAAGCGUCCGCAGGUGGUUUUUCAAGUCUGCUGUUAAAGACUGGAGCUCAACUCCGGAAAGGCAGUGGAAACUGAGAAACUAGAGUUCGGUAGGGGUAGCGGGAAUUCCCAGUGUAGCGGUGAAAUGCGUAGAUAUUGGGAAGAACAUCGGUGGCGAAGGCGCGCUACUGGACCGAAACUGACACUCAGGGACGAAAGCUAGGGGAGCGAAAGGGAUUAGAUACCCCUGUAGUCCUAGCUGUAAACGAUGGAGACUAGGUGUGGCUUGUAUCGACCCGAGCCGUGCCGUAGCUAACGCGUUAAGUUUCCCGCCUGGGGAGUACGCACGCAAGUGUGAAACUCAAAGGAAUUGACGGGGGCCCGCACAAGCGGUGGAGUAUGUGGUUUAAUUCGAUGCAACGCGAAGAACCUUACCAGGGCUUGACAUGUCGCGAAUCUCCUUGAAAGGGGAGAGUGCCUUCGGGAGCGCGAACACAGGUGGUGCAUGGCUGUCGUCAGCUCGUGUCGUGAGAUGUUGGGUUAAGUCCCGCAACGAGCGCAACCCUCGUCUUUAGUUGCCAGCAUUAAGGUGGGCACUUUAGAGAGACUGCCGGUGACAAACCGGAGGAAGGUGGGGAUGACGUCAAGUCAGCAUGCCCCUUACGCCCUGGGCUACACACGUACUACAAUGGUUGGGACAAAGGGCAGCGACCCCGCGAGGGAAAGCGAAUCUCAUCAAACCCAGCCUCAGUUCAGAUUGCAGGCUGCAACUCGCCUGCAUGAAGGAGGAAUCGCUAGUAAUCGCAGGUCAGCAUACUGCGGUGAAUUCGUUCCCGGGCCUUGUACACACCGCCCGUCACACCAUGGAAGCUGGUCACGCCCGAAGUAGUUACCCUAACCUUUCGGGGGGGGGGACUCCUAAGGCAGGGCUAGUGACUGGGGUGAAGUCGUAGCAAGGUAGCCGUACCGGAAGGUGUGGCUG